rnacentral:rRNA from 1 species
AAAACGACUCUCGGCAACGGAUAUCUCGGCUCUCGCAUCGAUGAAGAACGUAGCGAAAUGCGAUACUUGGUGUGAAUUGCAGAAUCCCGUGAACCAUCGAGUCUUUGAACGCAAGUUGCGCCCUAAGCCAUUUGGCCGAGGGCACGUCUGCCUGGGCGUCAA